rnacentral:tRNA from 1 species
CCAUCGAGAUGUCCCAUUUGAAGGGUUAGUAGGAUUGGAAUCUAGAGCUAUCAUGGCCCUGAGGUAA